CUGACUGUAACCCAGAGUUCUAUAUUAAGUGCUGACACAAGCCAAAAGGUUAUUUCGAUAUAUGUUAUAACGUUUUCAUAUUGACACAGCAUUAUGGGAAGGGUAAAUGUAUAUAUUGGCUGUCACAUUAAGGCAGCAUAGAUGAGAGGAAAAGGAUUACAGAAGCCUAUUCAAGAAUUCAUGUACAAACAAUGUCAAUAUCUAAUUUUAAUGAUGGCCAGUUUUCUGCUCCUGUGAAAGUCCUUAUAGUUCUCAUUCCGUUCAUAAUAGUGUUCCUGGUUCACCCUGUUAUCAGCGAUCCUGUCCUCAGAUGGUGCUCUCAGUUAAAGAAUUUCCUUUGCUCCAACUACUUCCAUGGUAUCGACAAGGUUACUAGAUCUAGAACAAUUCAUUUCCAACUACUUCCAUGGUAUCGACUAGGUUAUUAGAUCUAGAACAAUUCAUUUCCAACUACUUCCAUGGUAUCGACUAGGUUACUAGAUCUAGAACAAUUCAUUUCCAACUACUUCCAUGGUAUCGACUAGGUUACUAGAUCUAGAACAUAUGAGCAGACGUAGACUAAUCCAAAAAUAACUUUUAUUUAGAGCCAACAAACUGUUUAAGAUUUCGAUUUUGCAAAUGGAUUGUUUCUUUGAAAAAAUGGUUGACAAAACAUCAACAUAAGUUGAACACGAAAGUUAACCUACAUACCGAAUUACACUUUUUUUUUAAAUGAAUGAUUUCAGUGUCGGAGUCGAUAAAGGGAUACCUCUAAAAGUCGCCUGCUGGAAUGUCCGCACACUGCCGAGGACAGAGGCAGACGGCGAAAAGAAAAUCUUAAUCGACCACCGGCGGACAAUGGUUAUGCUUGCCCUGGAUGUCGCAAAAUAUGUAGGCCACAGCUGGGAUUGCGUAGCCACGAGAAAUAUUGCAUUCCUCAUUAAUCUUCGGACUCGAAGACAAGCCUUAUUUCAGUGUUUAUACAAUUAUACAUUUAUAGUUAAAGAACCUAUACGUAUAUAAUAUAGACCAACACAUCUUCAAACCCAUUAAUUCAAAUAGUUCAAAUAUUAAGCUGUAUUUUUAAUUCAUCGUGACUUUCAAUAAUCAUCUUUAUUGACUUAUUGAUCUCUGUAUUCCAUGGAAAUGCUUUCCGCUAAAGUGAUAUUCUAUGUUGUUUUUUGUGUCUGUUACGCUUAUAAUUUACUGAUAUGUGACCCUGGGGCGUGCCCGCAAGGAACAUACUUUGAUAAGGAACAUAGAAAGUGCUUGUCAUGCCCCAAUGAGACUUUCCAGGACGACACUGACCAUAAUUGCACCGACUGUAAACUCUGUAGUCAACCAGAAGAACAAGAAGAAUUAGUCCGGAACUGCACUGCUGUAUCAGAUUCUAAAAUAGUGUGCAAAGAUGGCUACUAUAGAGUUGAAGACUCUCACCACGGAGACGGAGAGUGUUAUAAAUGCAGGAAAUGCCACUUCUGGGAGAUUGAGAAAUGCAAGUGUGGCCUGUACCACGACACGGUGUGUUGCGUGAAUUCUGAAAUGACAGACAACACUUGCGCCUGUGACACAGGAACAAAGAAGGUUACACAAGGAAAACCAAGAACAACAGAAGCUAUGGAAACAGAAAUAAACAAAGAACAAAAGACAUCUACUGAUGUUCCUUACGAACAGCUCUAUGUUUUAGUGAAAGUCCUUACAGCUGUUCUCAGUCCGAUAGUUGUGAUAUUUUUGUGUUCUGAUACUGUCUGCAGACAUUGCAAGAAUGAGAAUGAGCGUAGACCUAGAUAGAUAGAUAGAUAGAUAGAUAGAUAGAUAGAUAGAUAGAUAGAUAGAUAGAUAAGAUAGAUAAGAUAGAUAGAUAGAUAGAUAGAUAGAUAGAUAGAUAGAUAGAUAGAUAGAUAGAUAGAUUGAUAGACAGAUACGCAUACAGACAGACAGACAGACAGACAGACAGACAGAUAGAUAGAUAGAUAGAUAGAUAGAUAGAUAGAUAGAUAGAUAGAUAGAUAGAUAGAUAGAUAGAUAGAUAGAAAGGUAGGUUUGUAAAAUGUUUUACAUGUUUAGGAUGUUCCUUCAAAGUUGAAGAUAAUUACUUCCUAGUCCAAACCUCCCGCAGGACGACGGGGGAUGGGAGCGGGCAGGGUUUGAACCCUGGACCAUAGAUAAAUCUGAACGAUAGUCCAGCGCGCAAACUGCACGACCAGCCAACUUUUAUGUAUAGGCUAUUAAGCGUAUUAUUUUAUUUUAUUUUUAUUUUGUAAUUAUAACAAUACUUUUCUCCUGUGUGUGUGUAUGUAACAGUCUUAUUGAUUAUUGUUUUGUUUUCUUUUUUUUUAUAAUCAAUUAAAAUAGAUAAAAAAAAGAAAAAAAGAGAGAGACACCAGAUCAAAGCUGUUAUAGAAGAAGGGAGGUAAUCAACGUGAAAUAUAUUUAACAACACGUAAAGAUAUCUCCAAAGUAAAAAAGAAAUUAUCUACCCCUUCGUUCGUAUCAUUCAACUUAUUUUCUUUACACGUUAUUUCUCCCACACCCAAUCUUUCUAUUAGCUCGUAAAGUUUGCAUGGGUUUAAAAAAGUAGGCUCUACGCUGGAUAGAACAUCCAACACAUCAGGUGUUUCGAAAUGGCUUUAACGAUUUUCCUAGAAAUUUGACAAUUAAGUUUAAUCUUUGAGGACAAAAAUUACUAGCUAUUUGUGCGUAAAUGUUUAAUUAGAUCUAUUGAUUCAUUAAAACUUGUUCAUCUUUGCAAAGAAAUGUUUAAGUGUAAUGCUGUAAGCCUAGUGACGUAAGCGGUGUCAAGUUUUUUUUUCCCCUUUGACGUCAUAAUAAAUUUUCAUUCAGUGAACGAAUUGUCGGUGAACCGAUUGUCGGUGAACGAAUUGUUGGUGAACCAAUUGUCGGUGAACUCUGAUAGCACUAAGUAACAAGGAGCACUAAUAUGAAUUCAUCCUGACAUAAUGAAUGAGAAAUGUGCAUCUUUCUUUUUUCUUUUGGUCUCCGUCUCUCUUUUUACAAAGCUUAUAUCAACUCACUCUGUCUGGUCAAAAGUUUGUACUCGUUAUUUCUCCCACAACCAAUCUAUGAUAAAGCUGAUAUUUCGCACAAUUAUUUCUUUUACCUGACAACACAAGAAUCAAUAAAAAAAAAUAUUAACCAAUUAUUUAAUUAAUUAUUGGUAAUUAACUAUUUCGUUUGGUAUCUCAAACAAGGGAAACAAUUUGUACUUGGCUGACGUGGUGGUUUAAGCUGAAUUAGCUCCCUUUAUACAUCGUCGUCUGAGUCUUAGUGAACACAACAUGGAAACUAGGACGAGACUCUAGACACAAUAGAUAACGAUCUUCUACGUUCAUAGGCUCUCCACUAGCAGAGUGGUUACCGUGUUGGCCUUAGAAAGCUUGAGCCAUGAUUUUGAAUUGAAGUCGUUCCCCCUUUUUUUUUUUUUAUUUUUAUAAUUGCUUUUUUAUUGUUAGUCUAGAUAUAUUACACAUUUAAUUACACAACUGAUUCAAACUAAUUGAUAACAAAGUAGGCCUACUCUUAUUAUAAGCUUUGUUUUCUUUUUAAGAAUUUUUAUGCUUUUCAUGUUUUUCUCUGUCUCUCUUUCUCGCUCUCUUUCUCUCUCUCUCUCUCUCUCUCUCUCUCUCUCUCUCUUUCUGUUUCUCUCUUUCUCUUUCUCAUCUCACAAAGGACUCUUUGAUAUGUUUCCUUAAUCGUAUUUAAUCGUAAAUGACUUUACAUUCAAGAAAAUUUUGACUUAACGUUGGGGCACCCGACUCUUCUUAACUUUGUGCAGGUAGAAUGGGGUAGUGCCAACUGACACUAAAUCUAGUCUAUUGAAUUAGUCGUAGAUAUGAGACGUGUGGUGUACAAAAGAGCGGGACAUUUCCAAAAUAGUGUUUGUGUACAAGUGUGUGUGUGUGUGUGUGGGGGGUCAAACGUAGCCUAUUUGACAUGCUGCCAAAGUAUUGAUCAUAUAGACCAGUGAUACCAAAACUAUAGCCCGCGGGUCGUAUCCGUCCCGUGACACGUUGCCUUCGAAUUUCCUGCCCACAAUGCAUCUAGAAGAGGUGGAAUUGUAAUUCUAGACUCGUUUUUUUUUCUUUGAUACGGCGCGUGACACAUGUUUCGGCUAUUUAUAUUGCCCCAGGGAGAAAAUGUUUGAGGAUCACUGAAGUACGUCUUAUCUUAUACAUUUCUUAUAAUAAUAAUAGGCAUUUUCUUCCAUUCCGAAGGCGCGGUGGCUGAGUGGUAAAGCGCUUGGCUUCCAAACCUGGGUUCGAAUCUCGAUGAAGACUGGGAUUUUGAAUUUCGGAAUCUUUAGGGCGCCCCCGAUUCCACCCUGCCAUUAGUUGUGGAAAAUUAAAGGUGGUUGGUCGUUCUUCCACAUGACUCCUUAGUAAACCGUGGGUCACAUAAACAAAUGACCUAUACAUCAUCUGACCUAUUGAACGCAGGUCUGAAAGGGGGGAACUACUGAACUAGAUAAAAUACAUACGUUCAUUUAACAAAGAGGAUAAUUACGUUCUACGUGUAUCCAAGUAUAAAUCUAGUCUUAUCUUAUUAAUGGCUGCCUGGCCGUGCGUUUUGCCUGUCGUUCGGACUUAUCGAAGGUACUGGGCCCUGGGUUCAAAUCCUGCCCGCUCCUAUCUCUCGUCGUCCUGCGAGAGGUUUGGACUAUAGGAAGUAAAUUACAUUCAACUAUGAAGGAACAUACGAAACAUGUAAAACAUUUUACAACAAACAAAUGGCUUUUAAUAAUAGCAGUCAUUGUGUUCCAUUAUGAAGAUUAAGGAUGAGUGCAGGAUUUCACGUAACCACGCAGAGUCAUAAAGCAUUCUAGUGGUGCUAUUUCUCCUGUAAAGCAAAGUUAACGAAAGUUUAACUGUAACAAGAAAAUAUUUAAAAAAGAACACACCAUUUUUUGGGGGGAACGACCUGAAAGCGAACUAUGGCGCAAACCUUCUCAAGCCGACAUUGUAACCACUCCGCUGGUGAAGUUCUAAUGAACAUAGAAGAUUGUAGAGUUAUGUGUUUGUAUAGUCUUGUCAUAUUUUCAGACGACGACCUAUAAAGGGGACUAAUUCAGCUUAUACCACUUCUUCAGUCAAGUACAAUUUCUUUCCCUUGCUUGACAUACCAAACAAAAUAAUUAAUUAACAAUAGUUAAUUAACUAAUUGGUUAUUUUUACUUAAAUUGAUUCUUGUGUUGUCAGGUAAAAUAAGGUAAUUGUAAUUUCAGCUUGAUCCAAGAUUGGGUUUCGGAAAAAUAACAUGAACAAAUGACAGAAGAGUGGGAAAACACUGAUUAUGUAUAAUGUCCGACAGACAAAACCAUUAAUGGAUGAGUGAUGGGAAGACCCCAACCAGGGCCGGCCUUACGAAUUGCGAGGACCAAUUUAAUUGAUGCUUGCGAGGCCACCUCUUCUAAUCUUAUUUUUUACAAUAACAACUACAACUAUCAAUUAAAUCAUUAUACUAACAUAGGAAGCAACUCAGAAGCAAUAGGUGCAUGAUGGACAAAUUAGAAUUAUGUCUAUUCAGUGGCGUAGCUAGGGUAUUUGAUGCCCUAGGCGGCAGAUCCUCAUGAUGCCCUAAAAAAACGUUUUAAAACAUCGAAACGUUACUAUAUUCAAGUCGUAAAUUGUCUUGUAAGUAUUUCGUCUUCAAUGUAAGUUUGAAAAAUAUUUAAAAUAUUAUAUAGUAAAAUAAAUAUAUGGGAAUCAAGAUGGCAAUAUUCUGCGACAAUUACCUGAAACCCCAGACAAAAUUCGUUUUUGUCUUUGUCUUUGGGAGAGCCAUCGAGAUUGAUUUCCAUCUGAGGAUUCAAUAAAGGCGACUAAAAUUCAUAUUUAUUAUGACGUUGUUCUUAUUGAGUUAUUAUUUCAUGAACAAUACGGUCCAAGGAAGGUAUUUCCAUUAGUAGCUCUUUGUUGUGUUGAUAGAAAAUCUAUCGUCAUAUUUUUUCGCCUGGCAUUUUUUUAGGGCUAAUACGGCUUUGAGGCUCUGCGUGAUAAUGUAUAAUACAAUUUUGAUCCAGAUUUUAGGUGUUCUGUGGAAAAUAAUCGAGAGAUAUUUGCUUUUUAAACUUUCUGAAUUAUUUGUUUUUCGUGAGCACUUAUAUGACAAUGAAUUCGUUUUUAUCUUGUUGGGUGAUGUACGUAUUUGGGUCUCUCAGGAAUGGAUCGUACUAUCACUCCAGCAGCAUAUUGCUUUGAUUUUGUACUGCCAAUUCUUCUUCAACUAGUUUGUGAUGCCCACGGAGUGCCACAUUCUGCUUUAUUUAAAUCUUGAGCCUUGCUGUCACUAUUGUUGCCCAGACAAACUUCAAGUUCCCUCCAACCAAGUGAUGUGUUGCUGAGAGGCUAAAGCCGCUUUGGCCACCUUACAAUAUCCCGACUCUAGCAGGAUUGUGUUUGCUGUUUUCUCCUAGAUACCUCCUUCCCCCAACUGGUUCACAAAAGAGAUUUGACCAAUACUAAUUAGUAAUAAAAAAAAAGAAACACCAUUAGGCCUACCUGUCCAUAACCAGUGCAUUGAACAAUGAAGUCACAUUACGCAAGGCUUAAAAAAAGGGUAAAAGUACCUUGCCUUCAGAGAUUUUAACAAAUCUGGUAAAAUUUGAUUCAAGCUGGUCUACAGCUUACAUUUAAUUUAAGUAAGAAAAUAUGACAUAACAAAUUACCAAAAUAAAUAAAUGUGUUCCAGUUCCAGUGUGUAGUUUUACUGAGAAAGUUGGUCCUUAGUUUGAUGCCCCCUACCACUUGAUGCCCCGUGCGGCCCGCUCCACCCACACAUUGCUAGCUACGCCACUGUGUCAUACGAUAGGCCCACAUUCGAUGUAUUAGCCCUGAGAGAAUGUGAGGCUAAUGUGUUCAAUUAGGAAUUAUAGAAAAGUUUGAAGGGGCCAAUGUGUGUUUGAAUGUCAAAUUGGCCAAAUACCGGCCCUGACACCGACAAAACUGUGAACAUUCCUAAUUAUACGCUAUUUUCAUUUUAUGUUUAUGCAUACACUAAUUUCUAAAAAAAAAUUACAAACUGUAUAGUGUAGGAAAUGUGUAGUUCGGUUACAGCCCUUGCAUGUAUAGAUAUAUAAAGAUAUUGUAAACUUUUUUUAUUAGUCUAUCGGUGUCAUUUCUCCUGCCAAAGACCAUUACAGUAAGCAGAGUUCUAAAUUAAGUGCUGAUUGUAGUCAAACUUAUUCUAAUAACAAAAAAGGUUUUGUUAUCGAGAUAGCAUUAGAGGAAGGACGUAGGAAGAAAAGAGAAGAACAGUCUUCAAGAAUUUGAAGUAACGUCUAUAUUUUAUAAGAUAAGAUAAACAGUCAAGAAACAAUGGUGAAUUAUAAUUAUAAGGAUGACCAGUUUUCUGCUCCUGUGAAAGUCCUUUUAGUUCUCAUUCCGUUCAUAAUAGUGUUCCUGGUUCACCCUGUUAUUAGUGAUCCUGUCCUCAGAUGGUGCGCACAAUGUAAGAAAUGUUUGUGGUGCGUAGAAUCACCUAAAACUGAGAAUAAAAAGAGAAAAGAAAGACUAUAAUACACACAUUUUCAUCAGAGCCUACUCAUUGUCUUGGAGAUCGUUUUAUAUUGACUGUUUUUUUUUUUUCUUCUUUUAUCGGUACACAAGUGUAGUCUGAACAAAAUUAAUCUAUCUUUCUAUUGUGUCAAAAAAAACUACUCGAACAAAAAAUUAACAAAACUGUUAAAAUAAAGGUUUUUGGUAAUUUCUGUAAAUAACUGUGAACUAUAACUGUGCUAUAAAUCUGUUAUAAUUUUCUAUAAUGUGCUGUAACUGUGCUACAUGUUUGUUCGAUUAAAGAUUUGCAUGAUAAAUUAAACAAUGUCAUGGACACAAAAUCGAAAUUCAAUGUUGGCAACCUAAUAAAAACUACAAACGAAAAAAUCUGAGAAGCUGAUUCUGCAUUGCUAUAAGUCAACAAUUCUAAUAUUGUGCCCACUUUAUACACCAAAAAUGUUGCAAUUUAUGGAUAUAACUCCAUGUAUGUGAUUCUCCAAUAACAUGAGUUAAUUUUUAUAGUCAAGAGGCAAACUCUUUUGUCUUCUUUUCGUAGUAUCUGGAACCCGGUAAUUUUCUGUAGCAUUUACUCUCAAAGGCUUAAAUUCUUCUUCCAGCCUCUGCGUUGAGUGUCCUACCAUCACAAGGAUAAUUUAUCAAACCAAACGACACAAUUCUCCCGAUUCCACGGAAAUGCAUUUCGUUGAGUUAAUGUUCGCUGCCAUUUUUAUUCCUGUCUGCUACGCUUUUAUUUCACCAAUAUGUGCGCCUGGGACUUGUCAGCCAGGAACUUAUUUUGACAAGAAGCAGAGAAAAUGUUUGCCAUGCCCACCUGGGACAUUCAUGGACAAGACUGAUCACAAAUGCACAGACUGUAGAUCUUGUAGUCGACCAGAGGAACAGAACCAUGAAAUUGAAGUCCAGAAGUGUACUGCUGUAUCAGAUUCUAAAAUAGUGUGCAAAGAUGGCUACUAUAGAAUUGAAGACUCUCACCACGAAGGCGGUGAGUGUCAUAGAUGCAAGAAAUGCCAAUUCUGGGAGAUUGAGAAAUGCAAGUGUGACCUGUACCACGACACGGUGUGUUGCGUGAAUUCUGAAGUGGCAGACGACACUUGCGCCUGUGACACAGGAACAAAGAAGGAAGCACAAGAUAGAACAGGUGAGAAAAGAGAUGAGCAGUAUUCAAGAAUUAGUCAAGAAACAAUGAUGAAUUAUAAUUAUAAGGAUGACCAGUUUUCUACUCCUGUGAAAGUCUUUUUAGUUCUCAUUCCGUUCAUAAUAGUGUUCCUGGUUCACCCUGUUAUCAGUGAUGCUAUUCUCAGAUGGUGCAAAAAGUUAAAACGAAGCUAGGGUAGUACGUAGGCCUAUUUUCGUGCUUACUUAAAGAGUAAGAUUCGUUUUAGAAACACGAUGGCCUAAUCAACGUUUAAUAAGGGUCUGCCACAGACCUAUGUAUAUUAUAUCUAGACUGGACAUGGAGAUCUUUGAACACUAAAACAAAAUUGGAAAAAAAAAUGUUGAUUGAAAGCGUUAGUUUGUUAAGUAGUUAUAAGAAGUAAAGUUGUUUCUUUCCAACCCUAACCUAUGUAACAUAUAAUUUAAUGUUUAGAUCUAGAUCUCUUAAUUAAAUAUCGAAAAUAAGAACAAUUUAUGCCUCAUAAUUAUUAUUUUACAAUUUUUAGAUACAAAAUCUAGAAAGAUCUAGUUAAUCAAUCUAUUUAAAUGUACAUAAGAUAAUUAAAAUCAACAAACGUGAAUUAGCAUAACGGUAGUUUAUUAGACAGCAAGUAACACAAUUAGUAAUCAGAUCUAUGCGAAAAUGUUUGCUUGAAAAUGUCCAGAAAAUCGUGGUUGUCUUUAAAAUCUUUUGGCGCUCCUCUGUGUGUGGAACUCCUCUGUGUGUGGAACUCCUCUGUGUGUGGAACUCUUCUGUGUGUGGAACUCUUCUGUGUGUGGAACUCCUCUUUGUGUGGAACUCCUCUGUGUGUGGAACUCCUUUGUGUGUGGAACUCUGUGUGUGGAACUCUUCUGUGUGUGGAACUCUGUGUGUGGAACUCCUCUGUGUGUGGAACUCUUCUGUGUGUGGAACUCCUCUGCGUGUGGAACUCCUCUGCAUGUGGAACUCUUCUGCGUGUGGAACUCCUCUGUGUGUGG